AGUGAACGCUGGCGGUAGGCCUAACACAUGCAAGUCGAACGGCAGCACAGUAAGAGCUUGCUCUUACGGGUGGCGAGUGGCGGACGGGUGAGGAAUACAUCGGAAUCUACUUUUUCGUGGGGGAUAACGUAGGGAAACUUACGCUAAUACCGCAUACGACCUACGGGUGAAAGCAGGGGAUCUUCGGACCUUGCGCGAUUGAAUGAGCCGAUGUCGGAUUAGCUAGUUGGCGGGGUAAAGGCCCACCAAGGCGACGAUCCGUAGCUGGUCUGAGAGGAUGAUCAGCCACACUGGAACUGAGACACGGUCCAGACUACUACGGGAGGCAGUAGUGGGGAAUAUUGGACAAUGGGCGCAAGCCUGAUCCAGCCAUACCGCGUGGGUGAAGAAGGCCUUCGGGUUGUAAAGCCCUUUUGUUGGGAAAGAAAAGCAGCAGGUUAAUACCCCGCUGUUCUGACGGUACCCAAAGAAUAAGCACCGGCUAACUUCGUG
rnacentral:rRNA from 1 species